rnacentral:sRNA from 1 species
AUCACACAGCGGCAACACGCUGCACAGAACUAGCUUUAUCUUUUCUCUUCUACCGUGCUGACAUCGCGGUGCUACACAAUGAGAACAGUGUACGGAGUGAUUGUGAGUGUACUUCUGGCAUUGAUAGUUUCCUGUGGGGCUCUACCAGCAGGGUCAUCGUGUUCCCUCAGGCCCGUUGCUUGUGACCAAGACCCAUGCAAGGUCCAGGAGUGCAUCUCCUUCCCGAUGGCCGACUGUGUGCCGAACUAUUGCGGCGGAUGCUUCGCUGACUACUACUUCAAUGGUCAGCUGGUUGACCCUUACAUGUGUACCAACAUAAUUAUCUGAUGGACUGCCUCAGUGAGAUAUUCAAGGAAUCAUUGUAGCUUGCACUAGUGUAUUUCUAUUCAGUAAAGCUAACAUUUCUUAUAAAGUACGAGAUCAAUU